GCCAUUGUCACUGUUGUGGCAGAGGCAGGUCUCUCCUGCAAACAAACCAACCCCAGGCACCUGCUGCCAGGUGGCUGCCCUGCACUGGGGGCUGUGCAAGCUUCUGUGGGCAGUGGCGGGAGACGGGAAAGGCAGAGAAAAAAGACAAAUACAUCCCAGAGGAUUCUGGAGAGACUCAAAUGGAGAGUGUCGGGCACGAAGCAGAGGAAGGGGAGGAGAGAUUCUGGGUCUAAUGGCUUCUCACUGGACUGCCUUUCAUUGAUUUUUUUCCACGGUGGAGAGGCUGGCUCUGUAAUGGACUGGCAAUCACAGUAACACGAUCCUGAUGCCCUCCAGAGACCGCUAGGUUCCAGAUGCCCAGAACUCUGGGUUUAAAUGGAGUUCUCUGCAUCCCUCAGUCCCAGCCCUCUGAAAAGUCUAGAGGCCUCACAAGGAAUAAGAGGCCUGCCGGCGGCCCCGAGACAGGAAGGAGCAGCUGCCCACUGACCGAUGCGUAUACAUCGUGCGGCCGUGCAGUUGCACGCACACCGCUACCUCGGGGAGCUCCUCCAACCCGGCUGCCACCACGUCAGCGCUCGGCUGCCCACGGAUUAGAUCCUGCCACAGUUCUGGCUUUAAACUCGCCUUUGUUUUAUGAAAUAAUGUUCUGAGUGAGGAGUUGGCAGGUUUUUCUCUAAUCCUUACUUGGCAAAAUAAAAAAUUAUC